GGCACUGUGGCUUAGUAGGUUAAAGUUCCUGUCUCCUAAACAGGAGAUCCUGGGUUUAAUCCCAGUGGUGCCU
rnacentral:tRNA from 1 species